UGAAUUAAUCACUUUUUUUCACUAAAUUCCUCAUCAAUGGAAAACUUUGGUUCAUCUUUUCAUUUUUCCAUACUCUUCAUUGCUUGCAUUUUUGCGAGUUUCACGACAACUCAGGUUCUCUCGAUAAAUACCCUAUGUCCAAAAGAAAUUGCGACUAUUUAUUGUGAUUCUAAUGAAGAUUUAACAAGAUGCACAACAAAAUGUUAUAGUAAAUUUGGAAAAUAUCUUUAUACUGCACAGUGUGUGGACAAAGGUGGGUUACAAGGAAAGAUUUGUGUUUGCCUCUUCAUAAGUUAUAGGCAAUGUCCUCCACAACCACCAUUAAUAUAAUAAUUUAGAUUACUAUAUGGAUGAAAAAUUUGACUUUGGCUUGUGACUCUCUAUCUAUAUGUGUACUUCUAUGUGAAUACACUUGUACUUAUUCAAUUUGUUAUUGAACUAUUCUCAUUAUUUUGAA